rnacentral:rRNA from 1 species
AAUUAACGCUGGCAGAGUGCAUAACACAUGCAAGUCGAGCGAAACUAGUAGCAAUAUUAGUUUAGCGGCAGACGAGUGAGUAACACGUAAAGGAUCUACCCUUGAAUGGCGAACAACCAAUCGAAAGGCUGGCUAAUACGCCGUACUCUCCCUUGAAGGCAUCUUCGAGGGAGGAGAGAUCCGCAAGGAUCGUUCUUGGAGGACUUUGCGGCCCAUCAGCUAGUUGGCGGUGUAAUAGACCACCAAGGCUACGACGGGUACCCGGCCUGAAAGGGCGGACGGGCACGAUGGGCACUGAGACACGGGCCAUACUCCUACGGGAGGCAGCAGUGGGGAAUUUUUGGACAAUGGGCGAAAGCCUGAUCCAGCAACUCUGCGUGAGGGAUGAAGGUCUUCGGAUCGUAAACCUC